rnacentral:rRNA from 1 species
UACGGGGGGAGCAAGCGUUGUUCGGAAUUACUGGGCGUAAAGCGUGCGCAGGCGGUCUGUUAAGACCGAUGUGAAAUCCCCGGGCUUAACCUGGGAACUGCAUUGGUGACUGGCAGGCUUUGAGUGUGGCAGAGGGAGGUAGAAUUCCACGUGUAGCAGUGAAAUGCGUAGAGAUGUGGAGGAAUACCGAUGGCGAAGGCAGCCUCCUGGGCCAACACUGACGCUCAUGCACGAAAGCGUGGGGAGCAAACAGG